rnacentral:lncRNA from 1 species
GGGGGAUGGGGAGGGCCAGGGGCUGUGGGGACUCGGAGCAGGGGGCCCCCGUCACCCGCCGCCUCUCUCCCCCCAGGCCCGCCCCCCUGCCGCCGCCCGCCGGUGCCCAGCGGGAGGCCUGAGCCCCGGGCCGGGACCACUGCAGCGCUGGAGCCGCGGGGAAGGCCUCGCCGCCCGCUUGUCCCCCCCGCCGACGCCAAUAAAGGGGCUGUGAGCUGUCUCCGCGCUGCCUCCGCCCCACCGGGGACCGGGGGGAGGGGGAUCGGCACCAGCCGCACCGCAGAACUACAACUCCCGGCAGCCCGCGCGGCGCUCGCCGGAAGCGCGGCCUCUCCCCCGCAGGAAGCUGCUUCCUGCCCACGGCGCCCCCUGGCGGGGACGGUGCGCGCAGCCUCCCGGGGGGCGGGGGGGGCUCCCUCGGAGCCACGUGGGCACGUGCAGGGGCUGCCCGUGUGCGCGGGCACGUGUGUGUGCGCCCCGUGGGCACGGACACACACACACACACACACACCCCGUUACCUCCCACCCCAACGGGUCCCGUCCCGGGGGACCGGUCCCGGUGUCCGGUGGGUGCCGGUACCCGGCGGGGGAGGUGGGCGCGGGGAGCAGCCGGUGCUGCCGGUCCCGAUGCCCGAUGUACUGGGGCGAUGCCGGUCCCGGUGUGACACCGGUGCUGGUUUGAGGAAGGGGCGAGUGGGCGCCGGUGCCGACCGGGUGCCGGAGGUGCCGAAUCGGUGCGGGAGUGACGGUCCCGGGGCCGCCCCCGUGCCGGUGGGUGCCGGGUCGGUCUCGGUGCUGAUGGGUGCUGUGCCGGUCCCCGUCUAUGCCCGAAGGACUGGGAUGGCGCCGGUACCGGUGCGAGAGGGGGCGGCUGGGUCCCUGUCCCGGUGCCGACGGGUGUCGGAGGCGCCGGUCCCGGUGCGGUCCCGGUGCUGGUGGGUACCGCGCUCCUCACAGGCGAUGCCCGAGGGACCAGGGCGGUGCCGGUCCCGGUGCGAGGGGGGCGGGUAG